GGAGACUGUUGGAGGUAUGCCCUAGAGGCAAUCAUAGAGAUGAUGAUAUUCCAUUUGUAUCCAUGAUUUGUAUAUUGUGUUCAUUGAAUAUCCAUUAAAGGCUACUUGAAUUUAUUUGCAAUUAUGUGAAUUGUAUGUGAAACUCUUUACUUGUAUGGUUAUUCUAAAGUUGUCCCUAGUCGGAGUUCAUGUGAGGACACACAUGAAUAUUAGACUAGCACAUGUAUUAGUUGAUGACUAUGUUUCACAAGUCAUGGACAUGGAGAUGUUGAACUAAUAAUGUGGACACAUGUGGAGACAUGUGCUAGGACUGACCCAACACGAGAAGUAGUUCUCUCUUUAAACAACAUAUACGCUUUGUCCUUAGACCUGAGACUGUCGCAUGUAUUCUAGAUGUGGAUCGACCUACUUAGGGGCUAUCAAACGCUACGCCGUAACAGGGUAGUUAUAAAGGUAGCUUUCGGGUUUGUCAAGAAGCAUGCUAUGAGACAUGGUCAAUCAAGAUGGGAUUUGCCCCUCUCUGAUUGAGAGUGAUAUCUCUGGGCCCCUCGAGUGAUCGGAUCCGAAAAUGCAUGGCCAUGCUACGUACGGUUAAGAGUUAACCUACAAAGGGAUUCCGAAUCACAGGAUCGAGAAAGAGCGGUCGGCUUGAAGCUAGACCAAAUAUCGUGAGGCAAAGGGAAUAGCAUGUAUAUUAUGUUGUGAUGGUUCGUCUGAUAUGAUCUUCGUAUGCGUAUAGGAGUUGGCACGUCUUGCUAAAGGCCGCUACCGACUAUUGGGCCGAGUAGGAGUACUCGGGCCAUGUCUAUACGUAUCCGAACCCAUAGGGUCACACACUUAAGGGGCUGGAAGCCCAAUUCGGAUCUGAUCCGAGUUGGAUUAGGUUUAGGAGUACUAAUGGGCCUCGGAUCCAGAGGCCCAUCAGGAACCCCUAUAAAUAGAGGGGUGGGGGCGCCCUAGGGUUCACACCUUUUUGGCGAAACACACCUGCCGCGCCUCCCACACCCUCGCCUGUUGCAACUCGCGGAUCUAGCAAUCCGGCUUGCGACGCUUCCUCCCUGCACGUGUGGAUACCUUGGAGGUGUUGCGCCUGCAGCACUUGGACGAGCCAUCGACGAGCCGCCGACGAGCCACGACGAGCCGACGACGAGCCGCGGUACCGGAGGCGAUCUUGCUGUGCACGUGGACGAGCUGCUGAGGAGCUGCUGGACGUGAUCCACUACGUACGACUACGUUGAUCGACUACGUACGACUACGUGAUCGUCUUCACUGCAUCUACGCAUAUCUACAUCUUCCGCACCAGUAGUGCGUCGAGUGGUAAUCCCGUGAUCCUUAUACGGCAGUUCUUCCUGGUUAUACGCGGUAGAAAUUUUUGAUUUGCGCUAGUGUAGCCUACCUCGUAUCCCAACAGAUGGGGCACCGGCGGCGGUGCGGGCGGAGUCCUUGAUGGCAAGGCAUGAUACGAUGUCGUGGAGGAGCACGUCAGGGAGGAGGCUGUGCUAUCAACGCCGCCACCGUCGGAGUCGAGGAGGACGUAGAGGUGGGCAUCGACGGAAACAGGCGGGCCAGGGAUGGCGUAGAGGAUGUGGGCGAGGAUGCCUUCUAUAGUUCUGUACCCUCUUCUAGCUGCUGCUCUAUGCCAUGGUAGCGAGCGAUGGGAGUCAAACUCGGGAGAAGAAGUGGCGGCGGAGGGCGGACCGCAGAGAUUGGGGACGAUUCGGGAGUCGCGACGCUAGGUUUUGGUGGCGUUUGGGGGCUGGCCAAAAGUUUUGGUGGGCUUAGGUGGGCUAGCGGAGUUACUCGAGGACCCUGGUCGGGAACGGGGAUGGGGAGGAGCAGAACAUUCUACCCCUGCUUCACCCGAUGGGGAUGGAAAUUUGCCCAUUAAGCUCCCUGUGGGGACUAAAAACAUCCCAUUUGCAUCGCCUAAUGGAUGAAAUCCCUGUCGGGGAUUGGGGAUCGAGGCCCAUUGCCAUCCCUACACAAACAAGAAACAAAGAAGGAAGAACACUUCCAACUUCAAAACAAAAAUACCCUCUCAAUACUCGAUGGUUUGAGACAAAACAUGAGCCAUACAUGCACCACCUCAAAGGCUAAUAGAUCCAUGAAAAAAAUCUUGAAAAGCUCAAGUAUUCAUCGCAGAUUUUGAAGAAAAUCGAACACCCUACGUAGAACACGAGUUUAGGGGGAUCAAAUCAUAAAUGCUCAAAAGUGUUCUACCAACAAUUUCCCCCAACAAACGUCGCAGGAUUUGGGCUCAAACUCAAAAAACAAAAAUUUCCACGAAAAUACCCUGCAAAUCUUGAAAAAGAAAAACGGAAGAAACAAAAAGAUUUAGCCAUGGAUUUGAGACACAAAUUCGACUAAUCACGAAUACAGCAUCUUUACAAGAUGAGGACUAUCCUCCUUCCUUCAUCCUCCCUCUAAGGUGAAAAUAAUUAAGGGAAAAGUGUUGGGAUACGAGGUAGGCUACACUAGCGUAAAUAAAAAAUUUCUACCGCGUAAACCAGGAAAACUGCCGUAUAAGGAUCACGGGAUUACCACUCUACGCACUACUGGUGCGGAAGAUGUAGAUUCGUGUCGAUGCAGCGAAGUCGAUCAAUGUAGUCGUACGUAGUCGAUCACGCCGACGUCCAGCAGCUCCUCAGCAGCUCAUCCAUGUGCAGCAAGAUCGCCCUCGUGCCACGGCUCAUUGUCGGCUCGUCGUGGCUCGUCGACGGCUCGUCCAAGUGCUGCAGGCGCAACACCUCCAAGGUAUCCACACGUGCAGGGAGGAAGCGUCGCAAGCCGGACUGCUAGGUCCGCGAGUUGCAACAGGCGAGGGCGUGGGAGGCGCAGCAGAUGUGUUUCGCCAAAAAGGUGUAAACCCUAGGGCGCCCCCACCCCUCUAUUUAUGGAGGUUCCUAAUGGGCCUCUGGGUCCGAGGCCCAUUAGUACAUCUAAACCUAAUCCAACUCGGAUCACAUCCGAAUUGGGCUUCCAGCCCCUUAAGUGUGUGACCCUAUGGGUUCGGAUACAUAUAGACAUGGCCUUAGUACUCCUACUCGGCCCAAUAGUCGGUAGCGGUCUCUAGCAAGACGUGCCAACUCCUAUAUGCACACGAAGAUCAUAUCAGACGAACCAUCACAACAUUAGAUACAUGCUAUUCCCUUUGCCUCAUGAUAUUUGGUCUAGCUUCAAGCCGACCGCUCUUUCUCGAUCCUGUGAUUCGGAAUCCCUUUGUAGGUCAACUCUUAACCGUACGUAGCAUGGCCAUGCAUUUUCAGAUCCGAUCACUCGAGGGGCCCAGAGAUAUCACUCUCAAUCAGAGAGGGGCAAAUCCCAUCUUGAUUGACCAUGUCUCACAGCAUGCUUCUUGACAAACCCGAAAGCUACCUUUAUAACUGUUGGAGGUAUGCCCUAGAGGCAAUCAUAGAGAUGAUGAUAUUCCAUUUGUAUCCAUGAUUUGUAUAUUGUGUUCAUUGAAUAUCCAUUAAAGGCUACUUGAAUUGAUUUGCAAUUAUGUGAAUUGUAUGUGAAACUCUUUACUUGUAUGGUUAUUCUAAAGUUGUCCCUAGUCGGAGUUCAUGUGAGGACACACAUGAAUAUUAGACUAGCACAUGUAUUAGUGGAUGACUAUGUUUC
rnacentral:lncRNA from 1 species